UUGACCUCGGAUCAGGUAGGCAAUA
rnacentral:rRNA from 1 species